GGAGGACAGAGUUCUGCUGUCACUGUGGGGAGAAUUCGCUGCCACCACGGAAUUCAGCCCUUUUACUGCUUCUCCUACUGGCAUCCUUGAGUGCUGUGCUUUGGAAUCUUCAAAGAACAGCUGAAUGUUCUCCUCCUCAAAUACUCUGCCUAUUAUGUACCUGGAUGACCACUGCAAAUACAAAAUAAACUGGUAAGUAGAAAAUGUAUCUUCUGUCACCUGAGUCUGUUGGUAUGCAUGAUGUGUGCAUAUUUGGGAACGAGAAGCUGUGGAGUACCUGACUUUUGGAUCCCAGUAGGGAUAAACUUGUGCUAAGCUGCUCAAGUGAAGUAUAACAGAGGCACUUCUAAACAUGCAUGGAAAAUAUACUUCUGGGUCUAUGGGGAAGCAUUAAUGUGCACUCAGUUAAGCUGGUUCUAUGGCAAGUGGUAACUGAAUAGCGAGCAAAUAUUUAAUCUUUUCUGCCUUGCUAAGCUAGAGGUAAUUAUGUGGCCAGGACAUACUCCUUUUUUUUUUUUUCCCUUCUCUCUAUAUUUCCACCUAUGUCCCUGGAGAUCAUUCUUGGAGACUUUUUCUAACUUGUGUCUAAUAUCUUAUUUCUUUGAUAGUUCUGGGUUUUAUUCCUUCUAGACUGUGAAAAAUAUGGGAUGUUAAUUCAUGUUCUUAUAGGUUAUGACAUAUUAAAACUAUGAAAAUCACUGUAUAUAUGUGUUAUAUGAGAAUAUAAGUUUCAGUCUGCCUUGAAAAUUUGUUAAAACAAAAAGCAGGCAACACCCUGGAAUUUAACAUUCAGAAAGGAGACAAAGGACUUAUGGGAAACCUGGCCAUCUCCUCAGCAUCGGGAGAAGACACAUUAAGAUAAGCUAUCAGUCCUCUCCUCCCUGGAUGGCAGAGUCAUCAUCAUCAGCCAACACCCUCAUCCGGAACACCACUAUUAGAGGACCAUCAUCACCCACAUCUCUGGAGAUGAACUUUUACCAUUCAUCAAACUGGGCAUCAAUACACUCACGAGAAACCAGAAAUUGACACCCCACCGGAGAGAAGGAACUCUUUUCAUCUGAGCUGGAGACAACUAUGAAUUUGAAUAACUAGCUUGGACACAAAGGGACUAUGAGGAAAUUUUUGCCAGAGGCGGAAUAAAGUGUAUAGAAACUAAGCCCCAAACAAGGCCAAUUCGUGAACCUAGGGGGAACGGCAGUCGACCAGGUACUGCGUCCCGGUUCACCCUUGACAUUUUCCCGGGUAAAAAUAGUCAAGUAUCUCCGCUGUGGGUGGUUUUGCCAAAAUUCUGUAAUUCGAUCUUUUUUUUCUA